UACGUAGGGGCUAGCGUUGUCCGGAAUCAUUGGGCGUAAAGAGCGUGUAGGCGGCCGGUAAGUCCGCUGUGAAAGUCGGGGCUCAACCCUCGAAUGCCGGUGGAUACUGUCGGGCUAGAGUGCGGAAGAGGCGAGUGGAAUUCCUAGUGUAGAGGUGAAAUUCGUAGAUAUUAGGAAGAACACCAGUGGCGAAGGCGGCUC
rnacentral:rRNA from 1 species